UGGGGUGUGGCUCAGUGGUAGAGUGCUUGCCUAGUAUGUGUGAGGCCCUGGGUUCAAUCCUCAGCACCACUU
rnacentral:tRNA from 1 species